rnacentral:rRNA from 1 species
GGGGAAAAAUUAAUAAUUUGUAAGAUUAAUAAAAAAAUUUUUAAAUUAAAAAUUAAUUAUUUUAAUGGGGGUUAAAGUAUUUUAAUAGAAAUAAUUUAAAAUUUUAUAGUGAAUUAGUAUUGUGAAAGAAAUUUGAAAUAAUUUAAAUAUUAAAUUAUUAAAAAGUAAUUUUUAUUUAAUGUAUCUUGUGUAUCAGAGUUUAUUAAUAAAUAUUUUUAGAUUAUAAUAAUUCUCGAAUUUAAGAGAGAUAAUUAAUUAUUAAAGUUAUUGUGGUAUAAAUAUUUUAAAUAAUUAAUUGGAAAUGAAAUGUUAAUCGUUCUUAAAUAUAUCUAGUUUUUUUAGAAAAAAAUUUAAUUUUAAAUUUAAAUAAUUUAUUUGUUUAUUAAUUAAUAAGUAAAUAUUUAAAUUUUAUAGUUUAAGGGAUAAGCUUUAAAUUAAAUAAAUAUAAUAAAAAUUAAGUUUAUUUGAAAAUUUUAUAAUUUAUAUUGUUAAUAAAUUUUAAUUUAUUAUAAAUAAUUUCAUUUUAAAUUAAAAUUUAAUUAAAAAUUUAUUUUUAUAUAAAGAAUUAUUUUUAAAUUUAUUAAAAUUAGUUAUAAUGAUAAAAUUAGUAUAUAAUUUUUUUUUAUAAAGUUUAUUUAUUUAAUUAAAAUUAAUUAAAAGGAAUUCGGCAAAAAUUUAUAUUCACUUGUUUAUCAAAAACAUGUCUUUUUGAAAAUAAUAUAAAGUCUAAUCUGCCCACUGAUUAUUAUAAUUAAAGGGCUGCAGUAUUUUGACUGUACAAAGGUAGCAUAAUCAUUAGUCAUUUAAUUGAUGACUUGUAUGAAAGAUUGGAUGAAAUAUAUACUGUCUCUUAAUUAAAAUAUAGAAUUUAAUUUUUUAUUUAAAAAGUUAAAAUAUAUUAAAAAGACGAGAAGACCCUAUAGAGUUUUAUAAUUAAAUUAAAUUAAAAUUAUUUAUAAAAUGAUAAAUUUAAAUUUAUUUAAUUAUUUUAUGGGGGGGAUAAAAAAAUAAAAUUAACUUUUUUUAAUUUUUACCAUAAAUAAGGGGAAAAAUGUUCCAAUUUUUUUGAUUUUAAGAAAAAAUUCCCUUGGGGAUACCACCGUAAUUUUUUUUUUUAGUUCGAAUAAAAAAAAGAGUUUGCGACCUCGAUGUUGGAUUAAGAUAAAAUUUAAAUGCAGAAGUUUAAAAUUUUGAUCUGUUCGAUCAUUAAAAUCUUACAUGAUCUGAGUUCAAACCGGUGUAAGCCAGGUUGGUUUCUAUCUUUUAAAAAUAAAAAUAUUUUAGUACGAAAGGAUUAAAUAUUUAAAUUAAAUUUUUAUUUAUGAAUUUUAUUAAUAAUUUAUAAAAAUAUUAUAAUUUAUAUAAAU